CAAGGAAGUCUUGAGGAGGAACUGCUUCAGUCUCCAAAUUUGAUCAAGCAGGGAGAUGUCCUCCACAGCUGGAUCUAAGAAGCAGUGAUUGUUGAUGAGCAGGUUCAGCUGGUGCCUAUUAAUCUUCAAACUAUCGGCACCUUUGUCUUCCACCAUGGGUGUGUGUUGAUCAAACUCGUGUGUACCUCCUGCAACAUGGUUAGUGCAAUGUGGUUCCAAAGAAAUAAUAUGCAGAGGUAUAACACCCAAUCCCAGUGUAAGAGGCUGAACCUCAGAUAUACCCUCAGAACAUGAAUCAAUCUCAAAUGUAGAAACAAUAUCAACAACAUGCUCAGAUACAUGUUCAGUGCAUGGAGAACAAACAUUUAGAUGUGAUAGCAAAAGGUGGUUCUCAUCAUGCAAGGAGGGAGAAUUAAAAAUAGGCUCAUCAACAACAUAAUCAUCAACAUACCCAUCAAUAGCAUAAUCAUCAACAAUAGAAUCAAUCUCAGGUAUGUUCACCUCCACUUCCUUGAAGAUAGGUAGAGUGGUAGGAGGUGAAAGUGGUCUACCUAUCUCGAAAGUGUUGCUCACAUCUGCCUGGUCCUCCAAUUCUUCAUCAGUCUCCUCAGGUGCAAGAGUAGGGACAUAGGAG
rnacentral:lncRNA from 1 species